GUCUCCGGCCAUGCCACCCUGAACAAGCCUGAUCCCAUCUGAUCUCAAAAGCUCAGAAGGGUCUGGCCUGGUUAGUACUUGGAUGGAAGACCACCUAGGAACACCAGGUGCUGUAGGCG
rnacentral:rRNA from 1 species